UUGUGAGAACUGUUGCAAAACUAAGGAAGUCAAAACAGGAAAAUUCUCGCCUGACAGGUUCAUCUCAAUGCUUCUCUUAGCACUGAAAUGUUAUGUUCGUUUCUAGGAUUUGAAAAAGGUUUGAAAACAUUUUAAACACUGAACGUAAUCUGCUUUAAAUGUACUGUGUUCAGUGAACAGGGAAGUUUUGUUGUAAACCAUCUUCACUCCAUGAUCUCUGAAUAAUUCGCAUCACGCUUUAUUGAGUUUUCCUCUGAUGUGAUUUGGGAAGCAUGCAGGAUACCAUGGGGUGUAAUGCAGCAUUCCUGCUCUUCUGGGGAAACAGUUUCAAGACAAGGAGUGACACCUGAUUCAAAGUCCACAUCCAUGAACAUGCCCUCAAUGUUUCCAACCACUCAGGAAAACCAAAAAACGAACACUCACACAUCCUUAAGUCCAAUUUCUCCCACAUCUCCGCUCAGGUCCCUAAGCAAUGACUCAAAACCCGUCACCACUUCAUUAGCUCAUGAAUACAGAGGCUCAGCUUUGGUGAUAUUAACUCAAAGUGGGCUAAACAGGUCUGAUUCAGAAGGUACUACAAUCAAAGACACCUGGUCAAACAACAUAUCUUCAAUACCAGCAGGUCUAACAAACCCACCAUUGUCAAGCAACACCAGCAGAGAUGGAAAUACAGAUAACUCUGCAAACUCAGUGAAAAGCACUACUUUUUUUGUCUUCAACACUCCCAAAGUGCCUGUGUUUAAAACAAUCACCUUUAAUCACCCAUUGGUUAAUCAAGUCACAGUGAUGAAAACUGUUUCAAGACCAUGAAACGGUCAUAUAAAAUGACUUAAAAGCAAAGUGUGUGAGUCUGAGAGCUUAUAUCUGGCUCCUCGUGUGCAUGACUAAUGUGGAAGAGCCAGAGACAGAUCAGGAAUAUAAAGAAUGUAGAAGUUGAAAUGUUUUUGUGGUUACUGAACAUCAAGCAGAUCAUAUGACUAAGUGCCACACACCAACAAACAAAUAAACAAAGACUGAAACCAAAUGUGAUGGAAGAA
ensembl:lncRNA